GAAAGCCAAUCUCAGUUCGGAUUGUAGGCUGCAACUCGCCUACAUGAAGUUGGAAUCGCUAGUAAUCGCGAAUCAGAAUGUCGCGGUGAAUACGUUCCCGGGUCUUGUACACACCGCCCGUCACACCACGAGAGUUUACAACACCCGAAGUCAGUGGCCUAACCGCAAGGGGGGCGCGGCCGAAGGUGGGUUCGAUAAUUGGGGUGAAGUCGUAACAAGGUAAC
rnacentral:rRNA from 1 species